ACUUUCAAAUAAUAACAAUACAUCAAGUCAGAAGCAGUUCCCAUAUGAUUUCGAGCAUAUACUUGCAACAAGUCAGGGUCAGUAACAUGAAAGCACCAUUGUCUAAAGAAUCACAUGUUGUUACAGCAUGUAUGCAUGUAUUUGUCACAUUGCUAUGGUCACGCAAUAAAUAGUUCUUUUGCAGUUUGAAGAUCUAACUUUUUUGUGGUGUUUUUCCUCACCCUCUUCACAGAAAAGGGGCCUCCUGCUUUUGACUUUGGAUUAAGAGGAGUAUUUUUUACAUCUUUUACAUCUUUGCCCCUUCAGUUUUGGUGCUUAAUUUGUAAAAUCCUAACCUAAUUUGAUGUUUAAUAGGCUUUUCCUUAAUCCCUCCUUAUUAUCCAACAUAUUCGCUUAUCCAACAUUCUGCCGGCCCGUUUAUGUUGGAUAAGUGAGACUCUACUUUAUAUGCAUCUGCCAGACUAUGUUGCUUUGUAAUUUGGCCCUCUUGGCUUUCUGUACCCCUAGUUAUGAUACAAUAGCUCCUCCCUUCUCUCUCAGGGCCUGUACUUUGUCUGAAGAGAGAACAUGGCUGCUCAGUCUCUGGGAAACUAUCAUUUUUUCACCUGCUGUAGUGUGAUGUUUUACAAGAUUUGCCCAGAAUAAAGGAUCUGGAACCUUGUUUUGCAUCUCUGCAGCUGAGUUGACACUAUCUGACAAAAUUUCUGGUCUUGAACCUCCGUCGUCUUUUUGACGGGCAAUACCUACUUACACUGGAUUGACGCUGGACUGACUGACUACGAUUCCGGAUUAACCCUGCUGCUGGCUAUCGGUGAGACCUUUGGAUUCCUUGACGACCACGCUUGGCUAUUGAUCUUCUGGACCGGAUUGGGACCCUGCUGACUGCCGUUACCCUAGACCUGAAUCCUGACUACGACCAUGCUUUCGUUCGCUGCUUUACUCCCCUGCUGUUUCUGAGUAGCAGAGAGGAAUCUGCUACCAGUCUUUUGUUUACAUUCUGACUCCUGUUGAUCCUCUUUUGUUUGCAUUGUUUGCCAAGCUGAAGUAAGCACUUUGAUUUAAUCCGGAUUACACUGCUGUUUAACCCAGUUUAUCCCUUUGAACCAUUUAAGCUCAAACUGAUCUGUUUUUUGUUAUUUAUCCCACUGAAGUCAAGUGUUUGCCCUGUUCUUUGUUUCCUACGGGCGUUUUUAGUUCUGUAACCUCAAUAAACUGAGUUUUGUUUUA